UCAGACGAUGCGUCAUGCAUAUCAAUAAGCGGAGGAAAAGAAACUAACAAGGAUUCCCCUAGUAACGGCGAGUGAAGCGGGAAGAGCUCAAAUUUGAAAUCUUAAAGGGUUUCCCUUUACGAAUUGUAGUUUAAAGAAGUGUUUUCUGUUGAGGUUUUGGUAAAAGGUUCUUUGGAAUAGGACAUCAUAGAGGGUGAGAAUCCCGUAUUUGACCUUUACUUUCAACUUUGUGAUACACUUUCAAAGAGUCGGAUUGUUUGGGAAUGCAGUCCAAAAUGGGUGGUAAAUUUCAUCUAAAGCUAAAUAUUGGCGAGAGACCGAUAGCGAACAAGUACCGUGAGGGAAAGAUGAAAAGAACUUUGAAAAGAGAGUUAAACAGUACGUGAAAUUGUCAAAAGGGAAGCGUUUGACACCAGUGUUGUUUUUCUGAAAAUCAAUUAAAGAACUGUUUAUGCUAAGUUGUUUAGACUUUAUCAACUAACUGUUUAGUUUUGAGCUUUUCUUUAAUGCACUUUUCAGUUAACAAGUCAACAUCAAUUUCUUUUGCUGUAAAAAAGCUUGAGGAAGGUGGCUUGAGAUUCGUCUUAAGUGUUUAUAGCCUCUUGCCUAUGCAGUCGGAGAGAUUGAGGUCUGCAGCGUAGAUCCUUCGGGGCUAAAUGCAUUUGUGCUAAGUUAUAGCAUUUUAUAGACAACUUGUUGACUAUGAUUUGUCUUGUAGCUUACUCGCUUAUGUUAUUUUACCUACGCUUAGGAUGUUGAGCGCAUGUCUCUCUCU
rnacentral:rRNA from 1 species